rnacentral:rRNA from 1 species
GACGAACGCUGGCGGCGUGCUUAACACAUGCAAGUCGAGCGGUAAGGCCCUUUCGGGGGUACACGAGCGGCGAACGGGUGAGUAACACGUGGGUGACCUGCCCUUAGCUCUGGGAUAAGCCUGGGAAACUGGGUCUAAUACCGGAUAUGACUCCAUGACGCAUGUUGUGGGGUGGAAAGCCUUGUGCGGCUAGGGAUGGGCCCGCGGCCUAUCAGCUUGUUGGUGGGGUGAUGGCCUACCAAGGCGACGACGGGUAGCCGGCCUGAGAGGGCGACCGGCCACACUGGGACUGAGACACGGCCCAGACUCCUACGGGAGGCAGCAGUGGGGAAUCUUGCG